UUGUACGAAAAAAUCAAAUGGGUAUGAUGAAUUCUUUUACAUACUGUAUCUAUGUAACCCUUUCCUUAAAAAAGCUUAAUCAACCCUUCAAUUCCAACUAAAGACGAGGCUUUGUCCCUUUGCUCGAUUUAUGUACCAUUUAGAUGAAUCAACAUGUGGACUGUCCAACCCUUAAAAAAAGCCUGAACCCCUUAUUUGAGGCUUUCUACAGUCCAGUGACUGAAACACAAUUCUUCACCAGGACUUUAGUGGGUUUUAUUGUCCGAAAUUGUUUAAAUAAAAAGCUAUUCAACUCUUUACAGCACCAACUCAUUAAAACCUUGGCAGUCCUGUGUGCUAGAGAAUGAAGUAAACUUGCUCUCUGCCUAACUAAAUACAACGGAAAAGUGCAAUCCCAAUAUAAUGGAAUAUAAUCAGAUGGAAAAUUGGAAGUCCAGUUACCGCCCGAAAGCAUUUAAAUCCAAGACAGGAUUAACGCAACAUUUUUUAGUUCACGGUCCAGCAGGAAUUUGCAAGGUAAGAUUUCCUUGAUCACUUAAGGACGAAGUACGGACAUUUGUGGACCAGAUUAUUUUCCCUUGAGGACGAAAUACACAAACAAUUUUCCCGGUACCGACCAGUAUUUAAAAAAUUUCUUUUUCAUCAAAAAACUCACAACUUGGAACUGGUUGAAAUAAAUAUUCUGUCAUACAUAUAUAUGAAAUCAAACAUACAUUUGUUGUAAGUAAGCAAUCAAUAUCAUCCCCAACAAGAAUUUUCCAUAAAAUCGUAGUUUCCAAGAAGUUAAUUGAAUACGAAUAAAUGAUAUCUUUCAAAUAUCUAGAUUUGUGGCAAAACUCUAAAAAAUCAAAGAGCCCUCCUCAUCCACCUGUCCUACACCCAUGGCCACCAGGGAGAAAUGAUACCAUGUGAAAUUUGCAGCAAAGCGUUUAAAAUGCCCGGGAAUUUAAGACAGCACAUGAAUUCCGUCCAUGCGACGACAACUAGGACAAAGUUGCCCUGCUCGUUUUUGGGAUGCGAUAAAACGUUUUUCCAUAACCGUCACCUCACUCGACACUAUAAUGAGCAGCAUUCGGAAAAUCCCACCCGAUUUCCCUGUACUAUUUGUGGGAAGGAAUUUAAAUCUAAAAAUUUACUAAAUCGACACCACAUCACUCACAACAUGGAACGAAUACGACUACCCUGCCAGUAUGUUGGAUGUGGUAAAGGUUUACUAAAUAAGAAGGAUUUGCUCAACCACUGUAAAUCCCAGCAUUCCGAAAGUCCUCACAGAUUUUCUUGUCCUCUAUGUGGGAAGGAAUUCAAUACCAAAAAAGAACACGAGUAUCAUAUCAUUAAACAUACGACGGAAAAAGCACACAAAUGUGCGACAUGUGGAUGGAGUUCUUUCCGCAAGUCUACACUCAUCAGACAUGAGGUGACACACCAGGAUAAAUUAUCUCGAUCCAUAUUCCGGUGUGAGUUAUGUGUUAAGACUUUCCUGUAUAAAUCGGGACUCCAACUACAUCAUAAAAAUCAUCAUGGGACCCCAAUCAUGCACGAGUGCGAAUUCUGCGAUUACAAAGUCAGUUGGAAACCAAGUUUAACAUUUCACUUGAAGCGGGUGCACUAUCGAGAACUGAACUACGAGUGCUACUUCUGUGGGAAAAAAUUCUUCAAUUUUCCAGAAUUGAGAAGUCAUUGCAGGAGGAGGCACACGCUUGAAAAUUAAGAUAAGGACUAUUAUGGAUAUGGUUGUGUCGUGCAGAUCAAAUUAACGUUUUAUUUUCCAAUUUCGCUACCACUCUCACUUUAGCUAUUUCUGUUAUAUUUGUGCGACAGAAUAGAUAGCUCCCAAUCCCUCAAUGCGUACAGAAUGGAGUUGAAUACUUUAGUUACUAUUCUCUGGGCCUUUCUAUAGAAUAUAAACUAUAGUUUUUUAUACUUCAACGUGCAUAACAAAACAUAUGUACAUAAUAUUGUAUGCUCAAUAAAUCACUUACCAAUAUGUAAGAAAUGAAUACAGAAUUCGGUCUUAUGAAAUGGAAUAAGAAUUUUAUCAAUUCUUAUAUUCUGUACUACCUAUACAUAAUUAAAUAAAUAUAGACUUUAUACAUUCUUAUGUAACAUAAAAUAGCUGGGAGAAGCAAUAUGAUAGGUCUCUAUAUAUGUGAACUAUAUUCUAUGAUACGUAAUGCAAAGCAGUAUGUGCCAGUAGCAGUUGUCGUCAAUGUGCAAUACUUCUAAAAUAUUUACUUUCAUAAGAUUUACACGACAUAAAAAUAUGUAUUCUAUAUAUAUCCCUCUAUUUAUUAGCGAAAAGUAAGGUCAUCGCAUUAUCCGUUACCCUUUGCAAAUAAUUGAGGAAAUUAUUCAUCUCUAUUCCAUUCACCAUUGUGUUCAAUGAAUUAACAAAUUCGAUAUUCAUCGAAUUUGGCAGUAACCCCUUUAGCACUCGCGAUUCGUAUUUAUGAUUUCCAUAAAUGUAGUUUAUCCUAUAAAGGAAUUGUUUCGAAGACGUCACCGCGCUCGAUAUGAAAUGAAUUAAAAAUAUUUCCAGGAAUGUCAUUCCUCCUACAAUUAUCACGCUUAGCACGAUAACUAGCAGACCGUCUGCAGCAGACCGUCCGCCAUCUAUCAAUGACCUCAGGAUGUAAUACAGGGCUCCGGAGGACAACCCGACAGCAAAUAUGUUGUGCAUGCAAUGAACUAUGAACAUCUUACAUAGCUCUGUAUGAUACAUCAUUAAUAUUUUCAAGCUGUUAUGUACCAAAAUCAUUUCCGCGAAAUUCAAACUUUUUCUGGUUUUUAUACUUCCUCUUCGGCCGGAAUAAUGAAUAAUGUUCCUAAGUAGAGAACCAUGAGUCCAAAUCCUGUGAUGCUAAAACAAAUAAUAAAUUGGGAGAACGCCACCAGGG